AUUCCAGCUCCAAUAGCGUAUAUUAAAGUUGCUGCAGUUAAAAAGCUCGUAGUUGGAUCUGGGGCUUGAGGUCGCUGUCUAUCGUUUCAGCGAUGACGGUGAUGCUCAGCUCUGCUUGCCGGUGACUGUUGCGGUGUUCUUCAUUGAGCGCUGUAGCAGCACGGCACGUUUACUUUGAAAAAAUUAGAGUGCUCAAAGCGUGCUUGUCGCUUGAAUAAUGUUGCAUGGAAUAAUGGAAUAGGACCUCGGUUCUAUUUUGUUGGUUUUCGGAGCUUGAGGUAAUGAUUAAGAGGGACGAACGGGGGCAUUCGUAUUGCGGUGUUAGAGGUGAAAUUCUUGGAUCGCCGCAAGACGGACUACUGCGAAAGCAUUUGCCAAGAACGCUUUCAUUAAUUAAGAUCGAAAGUCAGAGGUUCGAAGACGAUCAGACACCGUCCUAGUUCUGACCAUAAACGAUGCCGACCAGCGAUCCGUAGUGGUUGCUUUAUGGACCCUACGGGCAGCCUCCGGGAAACCAAAGUAUUUGGGUUCCGGGGGAAGUAUGGUUGCAAAGCUGAAACUUAAAGGAAUUGACGGAAGGGCACACCAGGAGUGGAGCCUGCGGCUAAAUUUGACUCAACACGGGAAAACUCACCCGGUCCGGACACCGUAAGGAUUGACAGACUGAUAGCUCUUUCUUGAUUCGGUGGAUGGUGGUGCAUGGCCGUUCUUAGUUGGUGGAGUGAUUUGUCUGGUUAAUUCCGAUAACGAACGAGACUCUAGCCUGCUAAGUAGUGUUGCUAUUGUUAUAUGGUUGACACUUCUUAGAGGGACAAGUGGCAUUUAGCCACGCGAAAUUGAGCAAUAACAGGUCUGUGAUGCCCUUAGAUGUCCGGGGCCGCACGCGCGCUACACUGGAGAAGUCAGCGUGUGUUAUCCAAGUCCGAAAGGACUGGGUAAUCCGUUGAACCUUCUUCGUGCUUGGGACUGUGGCUUGGAACUAUUCCAGAUGAACGAGGAAUUCCUAGUAAUUGCAAGUCAUAAGCUUGCGUUGAUUACGUCCCUGCCCUUUGUACACACCGCCCGUCGCUACUACCGAUUGAAUGGUUUAGCAAGGUCCUCGGAUCGUGGCCGUAGGGGCACGCAAGUGUUUCUGCGGUUUGCGAGAAGACGACCAAACUUGAUCAUUUAGA
rnacentral:rRNA from 1 species